CUCCCGCCGUCAGCGGCGGACAAAGCGGCGGGGCGGCGCGCCGCCGCCUCCCGCCGAACAAAGGGGCCGGGGCCGCCCCGCCCCGCCCCGCGCCCGCCCGCCCGCCGGUGGGCACCGACGGACCGCCCCGCACCGACCGACCGACAGCCGCGCACCGACUGACCGCCCGCCCCGCACCGGGGAAGAGAAAGAGAGAGGAUGGAAGAAAGGAGGGACCUGGUUGCAUCACAGGACAGCUUCCAUGGAGCACAGGACAGGACUGGAUGCCCUGCCUCAGCAAAAGGACUGAACUACCAAAAGAAGUCCUUUCUUACCUUUGCAAAGAUGAUGGUGAAUGAUACGUUGUGAGCCCCACCAACUCCAUGCAAAGCUGCUUCACAGCUUCUCUUAAAAGAAGCAGAUCUAGCCCAGAAGAGCAUGGAUUUCAUUGCCAUUCCCCAGAGACAUACAUGCCACUGUGAUAAGACGACCACCUUUCUAAAGUAACUGGCAGGGGGUUUCUGAGAGUGAGAAGGAAAUGCUACUGGCAGUCUGAACAAACCAAACAGCAAGCCUCUACAGCCCCAUGCCUGGCUAUAUAAUUCUCACCCGCUGCCCAGAUUACAGCCAAGCCUUGGCCACAAUGGAGUGCACACUGCAUGUAUAGCAUAUGCUGUAUGUAUUGCUGUAUUUAUCAUUCAGCCACACUGGAGUGCCAAGUGAUACAUACAGCUAACUUUCCUGCCUUAGAGCGGAUGAGGAACGCUGCCUUCUCUGCCUCAGUGGCAGAGGGGCUGCACAUACAGGACAAAGUUUUCAAGGCUGCAAGCACUAGCUCUAAAUCACACGCCUGCUGGGCCACGUCUCCAAUUUCUUUUGUUGUUAUACUUCACUGAGCAGGCACACGAUCAAUGAUUACAGCACUUUAGCAAUGACCUCUCCAUAUGAGGAAACUCUGAUGCUCAGCCCAAGAUACUCACUGUUAAAUAGUGCUCACAAUCCUGGAUCUUGUUAUGACUCAAAUUCAAGACUCUCAGAACAUUCAGUAAUUGCUGGAGGACAAAAAGAUACUAGAUCAGAUCCUACAAAUGUCUCCAUUGCAGCACAGACACCCUGUCCUGCCAGGAGAGGACAGCAAAAUUAAUACUGCCCGCUCCCUCCCAUCCAGACCUAGCAGCAUCAUAAAGGAGUGCCCAGUUUUUGACUGUGAUCACCUCCUCUCUUCCCCUCAGUCAUGUGGGAAGGAUGCCCCACUCACCAGUGAGUCAUCCAAGGCAGUGAUCGAGUUAUAGCUGAAGUUCACAGUCUGCAAUUCCAACCAAGGGAGAGCACAGCUCAGAUCUCCACCACAUGCUGAAAUUAUUUCCUAGGAGAAAGUGAGGACCCAUAUCUUUGUGAGUACUAGCUGUUACAGUAACAGCAGAUGAAUGCAGGAGAACAGCUAGUCUAGAACAAGGCUGGCAUAUUGUGCUUUACAGACCCUGCCUUGCCUAGGGUGGCAAUGACUUUUAUGUCACUAAUGUGUUUAGAGGUGGUGGGAAUUCCACAGCUAGAUGUUUAGAAAGAAGGAGACACACUUUUGCCUCCUACACUCAGGUAGCAAUAGUUAACCUAACGUUACAGUUGUAGGCUCUCAACACUAAGCACAAAGAUUCAUGCUAACAAAACCUUUUUCAGACCUCCAUCAAAGCAGAAGAUACACACACCCUGGCCAAACAACUUGUGCUCUGGCAAACAAAAGAAGCUCUCAAAGCACUCCCUACCAGCAGCCCCCGUUCCCCAGCAGGCAGCUGCUUCUGUGCCACAGAGAGAAGCCCAGUGCCCUGUGGUUAGGACAGCCCACGCUACUCAGUUCUCUGCGGCUGGAGUUUGCCUUCAUGUCUCAGAAACCUGCUGGGCACCAGUGCACAUAAGACACUGGGGAACAACACUCCCUCUGACAAUGAGCUCUAAUUUAAGCCUGCUGAGGUACAAUGAAAUAAACCUUGAUCAGCUGCAGGCCUUUGAACAUGGAAACAGCCAGCCACACAGAACAGUCAGACCUAGCUGAUACGAAUAUUGGCCAGAGCCAGAAAUUCUCAAGCAGCUAAAAAGGAGACUACAGAGCACACAUGUAUCCAACCAGGGAAUACUUCAACACUGUUUGAGUCAGGAGUAGGACCACAGAAUGAGGAAGGGAGAAAGAGCCAUAUACAACAUAGAUUGAUAAGACGGUUAUCAUUGUGUCCUUCACCUUCCCUGUGUGAAGGGCUAUAGGGUCAAGACAGCCUUUCUCCUGCGAUUUUCUGCACAAGCUGUGUAGACACACUUACCUCCAGUGUACUGAUACAUUUGCAACAGGUUAGAGAUUCCAGCUGAGAAUAAACAAAUCGCAGUCCCCUGAGGCAGUGUGGAGGGACAGACCUUAACUGCAGCAGUGAGGAGAAAGUAAGGACAAUAUACAUCAAAAUAUUACAGUGUAAGAGCAGCUGCCAGCCCAGGCCUGCCUCUGCAAGGGACCUCCCAUUUCCAUGCCGGAGCCUCCCUCCUCAACACUCCAGCUUUUGCUCAUAGCCAAGCUUCACCCCAAGCAAGUGUUGCAGGAGUUUAUACUUAGCCUUCUAAGGAAGCCGCAAAAGCCUACCCAGUUUUUAGGAGUAGAGGCAUUCUGCAACCACACAACUAAGUCAAGAAAAGCCAAACAGCAAGACUCAGAGCCAGCUCUGCCUCCUGUACUUACUUCCAGAUGCCGGAGGGACUUGAAAGGGAAGAUCUUCACAGCAGAUUGCAAAACACAGUUUGGAACAUGAACGAGCUAGAGAAAUCAGAAAAGAAGCCUCAUGUCAAGCUUGAUUUGUGCUGCAACACCACCCGCCCCAUGUACCGACUGCAGCACCUUGAACAGGCCCCCCACUCCAGCUGAGGUGUUCACUAACAAGAUCUCCCCCGACGCUGGUAUCAGCACAGUCUCCUGGCCCCAGAGUUCAACAGAGGUCAAAGAGAAAAGCACAUUAGGUAGCACAAGACCACAGUCUGCCAGACCAUAGAGCUGCUUUUCUUCUCCCCUGCCCAUGUGGCUUCACCACUUUCAGAACCACAAGGAGGUCUGACAGCUGGAUUCUUCAUCAGCCACCACUAACAAAUCUACUAAAAAGACAAAUCUAACUGCUGGAGCUAUGUUUAUUGAGCAACCGAGCUGAACUAGCACCCUGGUGGGAGGUGUGCAUGUGCAUUUUACCAGAACAGGCCAAAUAAGGCAAAUCACAAGCAGACACAAUGGAAAACAGAGUUGGUCUCCAAGACACUGCAUUAGACUGAGGUACCUGCAAACCUCCUCUCUGCGUUCUGUAGUGCAGCCACACGCUCUUUCACCAUGGGGUAGUUAGGCUGUGUUCAUGUACCACAAAGCAGCUUAUUAAAUACAGCUGCUUAUGCUUUCUACAGACGGUGCAUAAACAGUAUUUCGAAGGGAGUAAUGUAGUUGGUGCUUCCACUGCGGAGACCAGAGUACAACUGGAGAGACCAUCUCUGCCAGCUACAUCCACAUUCACGCCGAAGUGACUCAUCAGGUGCAGAACAGACAUCCCGAGGCCUCAUCACCACUACCGCUUCCACAGUUACAGCCCUGGUGGUGAUGAAUCACUGCCCGCUGCCUGCCAGCACUAAUGCGGCAUGUUGAACAGGACCAUUUGUAGGGAAAGCUUGCACUGGGAAGCUGAUGAUCAGUCUUAGCAAAGUUUUUCAGAUGCCAUCCUUGCUCUGUGUCCUGACUGUCUCCUCUCCCUCCACUGCCUUAAGAAUUUGAUCAGGCUGAUAUAAAUUAUUAGUUUCUCCAAGCAAAUCAGUUAUCACACCA